UAAGAAAUCAUAUAUUAAAUUAUCAUCAAAAUAAUAAACAGUGGAAUAAAAACGAUAAUUAAUAUGAAUUUAACUUAAUAUGAUUAUGAAGUUAAAUACCAUUUAAACAAUUUUAAAAAAAAAUCCUCUCCUCAAAAUAAUGAUUCUCGAUCAUCUCCUUUCUCAAAGAUUUUGAAAUUCCCAAAUACCUUUCCUCAAACCGAUUUAUAAACCAAUAAAAUUCAAGCACCAAAAAUCAUGUAAACAUGUAAUGCAAUGAAUAAAAUUAUG
rnacentral:lncRNA from 1 species